UUUCCGUAGGUGAACCUGCGGAAGGAUCAUUAAAAAUGAAGCCGGGAAACCGGUCCUUCUCACCCUUGAUUAUCUCAAAUUGUUGCUUUGGUGGGCCGCGCAAGCACCGGCUUCGGCUGGAUCGUGCCCGCCAGAGGACCACAACUCUGUAUUAUAUGUCGUCUGAGUACUAUAAAAUAGUCAAAACUUUCAACAACGGAUCUCUUGGUUCUG
rnacentral:misc_RNA from 1 species